rnacentral:lncRNA from 1 species
CAAGUCAGUACCCAGGCCGUGCUCUCCCAUGAACAAGUCAGUACCCAGGCCGUGCUCUCUCCCAUGAACAAGUCAGUACCCAGGCCGAGCUCUCCAGUGAACAAGUCAGUACCCAGGCCGUGCUCUCCAGUGAACAAGUCAGUACCCAGGCUGUGCUCUCUCCCAUGAACAAGUCAGUACCCAGGCCGUGCUCUCCAGUGAACAAGUCAGUACCCAGGCCGUGCUCUCCCAUGAACAAGUCAGUACCCAGGCCGUGCUCUCCAGUGAACAAGUCAGUACCCAGGCUGUGCUCUCUCCCAUGAACAAGUCAGUACCCAGGCUGUGCUCUCCCAUGAACAAGUCAGUACCCAGGCCGUGCUCUCCAGUGAACAAGUCAGUACCCAGGCCGUGCUCUCCAGUGAACAAGUCAGUACCCAGGCUGUGCUCUCUCCCAUGAACAAGUCAGUACCCAGGCCGUGCUCUCUCCCAUGAACAAGUCAGUACCGAGGCCGUGCUCUCCAGUGAACAAGUCAGUACCCAGGCCGAGCUCUCUCCCAUGAACAAGUCAGUACCCAGGCCGUGCUCUCUCCCAUGAACAAGUCAGUACCCAGGCUGUG